AUGAACGCUGGCGGCGUGCUUAAGACAUGCAAGUCGAGCGGCAACAUGGUUUCUCACUAAGGUUCGAAACGGUAGAUAGCAGGCAAUAGUUUGUAGUUGGGUUAGCCCAUCUACCAUCUGUUAACUGCCAACUACCAAAGUUCCGAGCUUUAGUGAGGAAUGAUGGCGAGCGGCGGACGGCUGAGUAACGCACAGGAACCGUACCCCAGAGUGAGGGAUAAUCCGCCGGAAAGGCGGACUAAUACCGCAUAAUCUC
rnacentral:rRNA from 1 species